GACGAACGCUGGCGGCGUGCUUAACACAUGCAAGUCGAAGAUAGUGGCGAACGGGUGAGUAAUACGUAGUAACCUGCCCUCCUUUUUGGGAUAAGCCUUGGAAACGGGGUCUAAUACCUAAUAUGUGUAGAUGGGUUCGCGGCCUGUCAGCUUGUUGGUGGGGGUAUGGCCUACCAAGGCGGUGUAGGGUAGCCGGCCUGAGGGGGUGAGCGGCCACAUGGGGACUGAGAUACGGUCCGGACUCCUACGGGAGGCAGCAGUGGGGAAUAUUGGGAAAUGGGCGAAAGGCUGAUACAGCCAUGCCGCGUGUGUGAAGAAGGUCUUCGGAUUGUAAAGCACUUUAAGUUGGGAGGCGUUACCAACAGAAUAAGCACCGGCUAACUUCGUGCCAGCAGCCGCGGUAAUUC
rnacentral:rRNA from 1 species